UGGGGAAUAUUGCACAAUGGGCGCAAGCCUGAUGCAGCCAUGCCGCGUGUGUGAAGAAGGCCUUCGGGUUGUAAAGCACUUUCAGCGAGGAGGAAGGUGGUGAGCUUAAUACGCUCAUCAAUUGACGUUACUCGCAGAAGAAGCACCGGCUAACUCCGUGCCAGCAGCCGCGGUAAUACGGAGGGUGCAAGCGUUAAUCGGAAUUACUGGGCGUAAAGCGCACGCAGGCGGUUUGUUAAGUCAGAUGUGAAAUCCCCGGGCUCAACCUGGGAACUGCAUUUGAAACUGGCAAGCUAGAGUCUCGUAGAGGGGGGUAGAAUUCCAGGUGUAGCGGUGAAAUGCGUAGAGAUCUGGAGGAAUACCGGUGGCGAAGGCGGCCCCCUGGACGAAGACUGACGCUCAGGUGCGAAAAGCGUGGGGAGCAAAACAGGAUUAGAUACCCUGGUAGUCCACGCUGUAAACGAUGUCGAUUUUGGAGGUUGUGCCCUUGAGGCGUGGCUUCCGGAGCUAACGCGUUAAAUCGACCGCCUGGGGAGUACGGCCGCAAGGUUAAAACUCAAAGGAAUUGACGGGGUC
rnacentral:rRNA from 1 species